GCCAGCGUGGCCUAGCCCGGGAAGGCACUGGACUGAAGAUCCAGGUACCGCGUGUUCAAAUCACGCCGCUGGCA
rnacentral:tRNA from 1 species